UUUUAUUUGAGAGUUUGAUCCUGGCUCAGGAUGAACGCUGGCGGCGUGCCUAACACAUGCAAGUUGAGCGAUUUACUUCGGUAAAGAGCGGCGGACGGGUGAGUAACGCGUGGGUAACCUACCCUGUACACACGGAUAACAUACCGAAAGGUAUGCUAAUACGGGAUAAUAUAUUUGAGAGGCAUCUCUUGAAUAUCAAAGGUGAGCCAGUACAGGAUGGACCCGCGUCUGAUUAGCUAGUUGGUAAGGUAACGGCUUACCAAGGCGACGAUCAGUAGCCGACCUGAGAGGGUGAUCGGCCACAUUGGAACUGAGACACGGUCCAAACUCCUACGGGAGGCAGCAGUGGGGAAUAUUGCACAAUGUGCGAAAGCCUGAUGCAGCAACGCCGCGUGAGUGAUGAAGGCCUUCGGGUCGUAAAACUCUGUCCU
rnacentral:rRNA from 1 species